AAUUACUGAACUUUGUGGGAUUCAAAAAUAUUCGGCAAGUCCAUAAGAAUAUCGACUCGUCUAAAUAAAGAGGCUGAAGAGGACCCUAGUUGGUCCUAGAACGGCCUGAGGUAGAGGGGUUUUAGUCGGUAGGUCCGAGGACUUCUUCCUCGGGAAUCCGACGCUACCCAGUCCUACGGGCGGCUGGGUGUCUUUUGAAGAUUUCCCCUCUUCCACGAAA
rfam:Agrilus planipennis Contig20595, whole genome shotgun sequence.